AUCGUAUACGAGAUUGGCGAGCGUAUCUACAGCAGUUAGGGUUUUCAAAUUAACCUCUGCAAGAUAAUCGCGAUUCUUGCUGAUUUUCACAUUCACAUACCUUGUUGAUUUUCAGAGAGAAUGCCGGACAAUAACGCAGCUAGGCAGAGAGCAAGUGCAAGCAUGAGUCAAGGACAAACGUGAUUUACGAAGCUUUUAGGGUUCUUCAUCCUUGUAAUUGGGCCUUUUCAAGAGACAAAUGGAAGUUCUAAAAAUGAGUGAAGUUGAAUGUAAGAGAAGCAGAACAACCAAUUUGGAUUGUUUAUUCUGAAGAUCGGUGUCAUUGCUAAACUAUAGAGAUUUUGUAGCGCUUUCGGUGGGAUUCAAUAUAUCUUAAUAGUUGGUGUUGGAGGACGAAAUUCAACUAUGGUUCUACAGUUGAUUUGGAAUUGAAUUGCAACUGCAGAAUAAAAGGGAUCCAUGAGUUUUAAUAUGAUUACAGAUCUCGAAAAAUAUUUAAUCUUAAAUAUUUGAGAUUUGUUCAGGGUGGAGCAAGCAAGGAUUGUGUCUCCAAAAAUGGUAGGAUGAAGAACGAAGUUUGUUAGAAAAAAAAUGAAUUUGUGUUUGGCAAAGCAAGGAUAUUGAGGUAGACAUGAUUGUUCUAUGUUGGAACAGAGCAAGGAUAUUGAGGUAGACAUGAUUGUUCUAUGUUGGUGUUCCUUUUAUUAUUGUUUGGGGGUAAAAUAUAUAUUUGCAAGACAAUGCUCUAUAAUAUGGUGGACAAUGUCUUGCGUGUUGAGCCAUGAGGUGCAUUGGUAUAGUAUGUGAUAUUUGUUUUAAAUAAGUAAACUUUGGUGUCAUGCUGUAAUGUAAAGUUACUGGUCUUUAUAUAUUAUGCUUGAAUGAAUGCAGGACAACAAGGUAGACAUGAUUGUUCUAUGUUGGUGUUUCCUUUGUUAUAGUUUGAAAUAAAAUAUCUAAUUGCAAGACAA